rnacentral:rRNA from 1 species
GACGAACGCUGGCGGCGUGCUUAACACAUGCAAGUCGAGCGGUAAGGCCCUUUCGGGGGUACACGAGCGGCGAACGGGUGAGUAACACGUGGGUGACCUGCCCUCAGCUCUGGGAUAAGCCUGGGAAACCGGGUCUAAUACUGGAUAUGACUCCAUGACGCAUGUUGUGGGGUGGAAAGCCUUGUGCGGCUGAGGAUGGGCCCGCGGCCUAUCAGCUUGUUGGUGGGGUGANGGCCUACCAAGGCGACGACGGGUAGCCGGCCUGAGAGGGCGACCGGCCACACUGGGACUGAGACACGGCCCAGACUCCUACGGGAGGCAGCAAUGGGGAAUCUUGCGCAAUGGGCGAAAGCCUGACGCAGCGACGCCGCGUGAGGGAUGACGGCCUGGU